rnacentral:rRNA from 1 species
UACGGGGGGAGCAAGCGUUGUUCGGAUUUACUGGGCGUAAAGGGCGCGUAGGCGGUCAGCACAAGUCAGUUGUGAAAUCUCCGGGCUUAACUCGGAAAGGUCAACUGAUACUGUGCGACUAGAGUGCGGAAGGGGCAACUGGAAUUCUCGGUGUAGCGGUGAAAUGCGUAGAUAUCGGGAGGAACACCAGUGGCGAAGGCGGCGAUCUGGGAAGAUACUGACGCUGAGGUGCGAAAGCGUGGGGAGCAAACAGG